UUGUUCGGAAUUAUUGGGCGUAAAGCGGGUGUAGGUGGUUCUAUAAGUCAGGAGUGAAAGCCCCGAGCUUAACUUGGGAAGUGCUUUUGAUACUGUAGAACUUGAAUGUGGGAGAGGAUCGUGGAAUUCCAGGUGUAGUGGUGAAAUACGUAGAUAUCUGGAGGAACACCGGUGGCGAAGGCGGCAUUCUGGACCGAUAUUGACGCUGAGGAGCGAAAGCCAGGGGAGCAAACGGG
rnacentral:rRNA from 1 species